rnacentral:rRNA from 1 species
UGGGGAAUAUUGCACAAUGGGCGAAAGCCUGAUGCAGCAACGUCGCGUGAAGGAAGAAGGGUUUCGGCUCGUAAACUUCUAUCAACAGGGACGAAAGAAAUGACGGUACCUGAAUAAGAAGCCCCGGCUAACUACGUGCC